rnacentral:SRP_RNA from 1 species
AUCUUGUGAACUCCCCCAGGGCAGGAAUGCAGCAAGGGUCAGCGAGCUCUGACGGGUGCGCGGGAUCCCCUAAAACG